rnacentral:rRNA from 1 species
UACGGAGGGUGCGAGCGUUGUUCGGAUUUACUGGGCGUAAAGGGCGCGUAGGCGGCGUGGUAAGUCACUUGUGAAAUCUCUGAGCUUAACUCAGAACUGCCAAGUGAUACUGCUGUGCUCGAGUGUGGAAGGGGCAAUCGGAAUUCUUGGUGUAGCGGUGAAAUGCGUAGAUAUCAAGAGGAACACCUGAGGUGAAGACGGGUUGCUGGGCCAACACUGACGCUGAGGCGCGAAAGCCAGGGGAGCAAACGGG